UACGUAGGGGGCUAGCGUUGUCCGGAAUCAUUGGGCGUAAAGCGCGCGUAGGCGGCCCGGUAAGUCCGUUGUAAAAGUCAAAGGCUCAACCUUUGAAAGCCGAUGGAUACUGUCGGGCUAGAGUCCGGAAGAGGCGAGUAGAAUUCCUGGUGUAGCGGUGGAAUGCGCAGAUAUCAGGAGGAACACCGGUGGCGAAGGCGGGUCUCUGGGCCGGUACUGACGCUGAGGAGCGAAAGCGUGGGGAGCGAACAGG
rnacentral:rRNA from 1 species